rnacentral:lncRNA from 1 species
AGGGUCCUAGAACUGCGGUCCUGAAACUGCAGCCAUUGCUAUAUCAUCCAGUACGGUAGGUGGCGCUGUCACGAAAAACUAGGGUCCUAGAACUACGGUCCUAGAUCUGCGGUCCUGAAACUGCAGCCUCCGGUUGUGCAGGAACAUACUAUUGCACUAAUCUGGAACAGAAUGAAGGUCUAGUCUGAGUUGGGUGGAUGUAGCUUGAACAGUUUAGGAGGAGUAGCAAUUCGAAAUUUUAGUCUCAGAAAGUUAAUAAUAAUAAUAAUCGUAACUACAAUUGCAGUAAGUUGGCUUUUUCAAGACAAAUUAAUUAUAAGAAUUCUGGUGACAUUUCUAUCUUUUUUUUUUUUUUUUUUACUGCAAAUAGCAUUGAAAUAUUGAUGGGCUGCCACAAUAGACUGGUACAACCAAGACUGGCUUCCAAUCAGUCACUAAGUGGUCGCAUUCUAAAAAGGAUCUUCACUCAAAGAACCAUUUACAUUCGUCCAGAAAGACAACUUCUUGAAAUAGACCAUACAGUGCAAAAUGUGGGGUCAUGGUGUGCAACAGCAGAGAUUCAGCCCGUGUCUUCACAAGCAACACGCACUCGUCCUGUGUAUGAUUCAACAGCAGAGAUUCAGCCCGUGUCUUCACAAGCAAGAUUUACUGGAGAGUCAUCUGUAGCUAUGUUGGAUACUGUUGUUGGAGCAAGUGACAGUGAAUACAGGUGGGUGAAAAACACCUGUAGUUAGUCUUCAGUGCAUGUCACUGCAUGCACUGCGGUAAAUAAAUAACUAAGUAAAUAAAUGUGUCUUCCAGCUGAGGCUGAGUGUUUGGCGUCGCGCAGUCAUGUGUUUUGGGGCCGUGGCUUUGGAAGGAGCUCAGAAGGGGGGGUUGGAGUGAAUGGAAAUAAUGAGCUGUGUUUAAAACAGUCGUGAGAGGUCUACAAACACUCGAUUUUUAUACUCUCUUUGCAGAGUUAUUACUAUUUUAAUUAUGUAUUGGUAUAUAAAGACUAGUUUAGAGUCGUGAGAGGUCUACAAACACUCGUAUUUUUAUACUCUUCUUUUGCAGUAGUUAUUACUAUUUUAAUUAUGUAUUGGUAUAUAAAGACUAGUUUGAACUAAUUUGGAAUUGUUUUUUUUUUUUUUUUUUUUUUUUUUUUAAAUUUCCUUACCUACCCUGCCUUUAAUGCCUUUAAUAUACCAAAUAUGUGCUCUAACAGUGUAAUAAAAGAAUAUGCAGUGUAACACUGGACUGAUAUGCUCUGUCAUUGUCACAGCAUGUGCUCUGUCACAAAGCACAUGCAGCAAGUGACACUGCACGCUACAUACACUUUAAAUGCACUGUUUAUAAUUCAAACUGUAGUGGUCACAUAUGACAUUCACAGGGUUGCAACUAAAUAAUUGUUCGACUGUCCUAUAUCAAACAUUAAGAUUAUGAUACUUUACAACACAAAAUACUCAAGGCAGUUUGAAAGGUUUGAUUUUAAUAUCAAUGUAAAUUAAAAGUUUAUAUGUAGAUGAAGCACAUAUUUUUAAAUGUAUGUUUGAGUGGUACGACCUUGUGAGCAAACAAAAUAUUCUUGAAAAGCACAUAAUUGCUUGAUUUCAUUAGCCUUGAUGAAAACAUGUUUUUCCUGUAAGUGAUGGUUCUGUCUUAACUGAACAUUUUUUUUAUGUUUUUGCUAGAUGCUAUGUUGAUCUUUUUGAUGACACAGAUUCGGAUGUGGAUUUGAAUGAAGCAAUCGCAAGAUCCCUCCUAGACAUUAAUCAGUCACAGCACACAGAGUGAGUAAAUGAUAAUUGUACUGUAUAUACAAAAUAAAUUAUAAGUUAUACACUAUACCUGAAAAC